rnacentral:rRNA from 1 species
ACCUGGUUGAUUCUGCCAGUAGUCAUACGCUCGUCUCAAAGAUUAAGCCAUGCAUGUCUAAGUAUAAGCAAUCUAUACUGUGAAACUGCGAAUGGCUCAUUAAAUCAGUUAUCGUUUAUUUGAUAGUACCUUACUACAUGGAUAACCGUGGUAAUUCUAGAGCUAAUACAUGCUAAAAACCCCGACUUCGGAAGGGGUGUAUUUAUUAGAUAAAAAACCAAUGCCCUUCGGGGCUCCUUGGUGAUUCAUAAUAACUUAACGAAUCGCAUGGCCUUGCGCCGGCGAUGGUUCAUUCAAAUUUCUGCCCUAUCAACUUUCGAUGGUAGGAUAGUGGCCUACCAUGGUGGCAACGGGUAACGGGGAAUUAGGGUUCGAUUCCGGAGAGGGAGCCUGAGAAACGGCUACCACAUCCAAGGAAGGCAGCAGGCGCGCAAAUUACCCAAUCCCGACACGGGGAGGUAGUGACAAUAAAUACUGAUACAGGGCUCUUUUGGGUCUUGUAAUUGGAAUGAGUACAAUUUAAAUCCCUUAACGAGGAUCAAUUGGAGGGCAAGUCUGGUGC